UCGUUAUCAAGAAAGGUGGAGGGACUAGACCCAGUGAAGCCUUGGCAACCCUUCGCACAAUCGAAGAAGGUGCUACAUUCUAACCCGGACCGGGAUCGGGGCCAGCUGGCUGCCGCGGUGCGGGGCAGAUAACAA
rnacentral:ncRNA from 2 species